rnacentral:lncRNA from 1 species
CCCUUUGGUUUCUUCUGAAAUUCAGAUACCACCAUGUCACCCAGUUCCUCCCGCAAGUAUUUGAAAAUCUUUCCUAGGAAGAUCACUGCCUGCUUUUUGUAGGUAACAAAUGUUUUUGUUUUUGUUUUGUUUUGUUUUUUUCCAGGCCUACCCAUUUCCACACUCACACAUACACUUGCAAUGUAAUGAUCCGAAAGACAUGAUCCGAGUACCUCCUGGGGUUUCCUUGAGGGGGUCACCUAAAGAAACACUGGGUGAGCCAACCCUGUCAUCCAGGGUGCAUUUUGAUGCUCCCAAGCCAUGUGACUUUGCCUCUGGUUUGUAAAAGCGGAAUUUCAUCCCCCACUCCCCUCCCCACCCUCCGUUUCAGUGUUUUGUCCCCAAGCAUCAUUUCCCCACCUCCCGAGGGCACCAGCCUUUCCGGAAAUGCCCGAGCUCCGCCGGCAGCCUCCACCUCCCGGGGGGUGAGGAAACUAAAGCCCUGGGACGUUUAAUGUCAUAUAGGGCGGCUGCAGAACUAGGAUGUGCAGUGUGGCCUCUGGGCUCUAACAUCAGUGAGCGUCACUGCUGCACUGUACUGCAUGGAACAGAUUCUGGAAGGGAUUGCAACAAUUUCCAAAGGAGAAGGGAAAGGAGUCCUCCUGCUGGAGCAGGUUGGAAGCCACUGAGCCAGGCUAUCAUCCCGGCUCAGCAGAGACCGAGUCAUGAGACCUGAGGUCAGGUUCCAGCCCCUCCCCUGGCUGGUUGGGUGAUCUUGGGGGGAGCCCCAUGUGACUUAGAGAACUUCGGUUUCCUUAUCCCGGAGUGGAGAUCAUGAAAAUUAUUUGACAGGAUUGUCAAGGAGAUUAAAUGAGAUAGAUCAAGGGUUUUGAAAACUGUGAAGUGUGGCACAAAUGGAGGGAUUGUUGUGGGGGCAUCUAAGAAGCUUACACAUAUUGUCAGCUUCUCCAGGGCAGGGACAGUCCCCUCAGUGACUCCUGUUGUCCCCAUCACCUCUUGCCCUCAAUGCAGGUCCUUGAGAUGACCUCAUAUAAACACCACCAAGGGACUAGCACAGUGGCCCAGCGCACAGAAGGGGCUUAAUACAUGGUAGGUGGUAUGCAUGCAUGUGCUUCUGGUUCAGAUCCUCUCUCUGCCCUUUGCUGGGUUAGGGAGUGUGACCGUGGGCAAGGUCAGCACUGACAGGCCCUCGUGUCCUCGUCUACCACAUGGCUGAUGGGACAGCAGCUAGUUGGUGAGGCGGCCACAAGACUCAAGGAGCUUUCUGUGUGACAGAGCCAGCCCCAAACCAAGCACUCCAUGGGCAGCAACUGUGGGUUUACUAUUAUUUACUGAGCGAUGCUUUCAGAGUGGUGUGAGAAGGUCACCAGGCUGGGAAGGAGGAAAUCUAGCUCCUGGUUUUGGUUCAGAGUCAGCAAAGGACUUGAGAGACAGUGAGACACUCGGGUGCAGCCUCUCAGGGUCAGCACAGAGGAGGUAGCCGUAUAUACGCUGGCCCGCAUCUCCCCCAGGUGUAGGCUAGCUCCCCAGAGCAAACUCACUCGGGAAAGGGGCACAUAUUGAACCUGUGGAUAAAUAUCACGGUUGUCCAACAUGCAAAUGUUCCUGUUUGCAUCCUUUCCCACCAGAGCGAGAAAGUCUGUCUCCCUAUGCCCCAACCCAUCGACAUUUUUUAAGUUUCAAUUUUAUGAAUUUUUUGACUAGGUCAUAUUUGCAGAUGGCACAAAAUUUUAAAAGGUGCAAAGCGGCAGGGCCCUUGGCUGGCUCAGUCUGUAGCACAUGUGACUCUUGAUCUCGAGGUUGUAAGUUUGAGCCCCACAUUGGGUAUAGAGAUUACUUAAAAAUAAAAAAUAAAAAAAAGAAAAGGUGCA